rnacentral:lncRNA from 1 species
GUCGUGAGGCGGGCCUUCGGGCUGGCUCGCCGUCGGCUGCCGGGGGGUUGGCCGGGGUGUCAUUGGCUCUGGGAAGCGGCAGCAGAGGCAGGGACCACUCGGGGUCUGGUGUCGGCACAGCCAUGGCGGGCGCGUUGGUGCGGAAAGCGGCGGACUAUGUCCGAAGCAAGGAUUUCCGGGACUACCUCAUGAGUACGGUAAGAAAAUUAUUUCCAUCCAUUUCAGGCUUUUGCAGACUUUCUGCAUUAACAGAGUUAGGGGUAACAGGCUUAGCAUCCUUUGCAUAUGAGAGCCUUUCUAGCCGCCAUGGCUGGCAGGUUGUGAAGGGUGCCUACUGCACCCUGGCCUGUCCUGGGGAGCCUAGACACGAGCUCUGUGACAGCCAUGCUCCUGGGGCUGCUCCCUACUCCUGUUUUUAGAAACAAGCAUAUAAUUACUUCAUUGAUAACAGUCACAGUGGAGCCUAGCAACCGAUGAAAGGAAAUAGAGAAAGAAAAAGAGAAAGCAGGAAAAGAAGGGUGGGAUGAUUUUUUCCUGUAGGGUGGAGUUCAUUUCCAUGGCUUGAUUUUCACACAGGAGAUGGUGUUGUAUAAUUCUGUUGGAACUUUCUUUUCAGCACAAUUAAGAAUUAUAAUCAAGUAAAAUGUUUUCCAUUUAAUCCAACAUAUGUUAAUUUCUUUUUGAAUUUUAAUAAAGUUCCUUAUUUUUCUCAAAAUUGACUGCUGAAUAUCUGACAGCAUAAAUCAAUUGUAUUCUAAAAAAGGGAAGAGAGAACUAGAAUAUUGUACUAGAUAGAAAAGAUGCAUUAUAAACUUUCUAAGGUUAGGUAUUUUAGUAAACUAGUGUUAAAAUGAUUUUUACCUUUCGUGUUCUUCUUAAGAAACAUAUUUUCAGUAUAGCUCAACACUUACAGUCAUAAGUGUAUGUAUAGUUCUUAACUUGCAGAACUGUUUCCUAUAACCUAACACUCAUCACACUUAAACUUUUUAUUUUUUUAAUUUUUUUUCUUUUUUGAGAUGGAGUCUUGCUCUGUUGCCCAGGCAAGAGUGCAGUAGCACUAUCUUGGCUCACUACAACCUCUGCCUCACGUGUUCAAGCGAUUCUCCUGCCUCAACCUCCCUAGUAGCUGGGAUUUCAGGUGCAAGCCACCACACCCAGCUAAUUUGUGUAUUUUUAGUAGAGACGGGGUUUCACCAUGUUGGUCAGGCUGGUCUCAAACUCCUGACCUCAUGAUCCGCCUGCCUCAGCCUCCCAAAGUACUGGGAUUACAGGUGUGAGCCACCAUGCCCGGCCCAUACUUAAACUUUUAAUAACAUCACUUAGCCAGGAAUCUCCCAAGGCUACUUUAGGUUUAGAUUUAUUCCAUUGUCCAUUUCUGCUUUAGCCCCACCUAUGAAAGAAGACACAUUCACAACCAGUGGUAGAGAAACUGUGGUUUAUAUGCCCCUCUUAGAAUAACUCUUCAGGCUCUGUUUAUAGCCCUGGGUUCAUGCAUGAUAAAGUAGACAGCAACACCACCAUACAGUGCAGAGGAGUGGCAAGAGAGUAAACGGAAAAGGAGAUGAAAAUAGACCAAGUGGAGAAAGGCCUGGUCAAAAAAGGAGGAAAAGGAAGAUCACUAUGGAAUAAUAGAGAGUUGAAAAAUGAAGUGACACCCAAUAACAGGACGGGACAAUCAGAGAUGACUUGGUUGUAGUGUGGAAACCAGUAGGGACCUUGGGAAGCUGCCAAACCCUUUCUAGCUCUGGGCUCAGCUGUAAGAACUGCUGAUUCCUACAGGAACACUUGGACAAUCCAAUACCUAAAUGUUAACCAUCAAUUAACCCAGUAAACCUGCAAGAUGGAAACGAAGAUUUGUUCUCACGAGUUUCACGUGAUUAUUUAAACACUUCUGGGGCCCAGUAGCCAACUGGGGUCUUCCCAUUGCUGCCAUCAAUGAUAUGAAAAAGUCUCCAGAGAUUAUCAGUGGGCGGAUGACAUUUGCCCUCUGUUGCUAUUCUUUGACAUUCAUGAGAUUUGCCUACAAGGUACAGCCUCGGAACUGGCUUCUGUUUGCAUGCCACGCAACAAAUGAAGUAGCCCAGCUCAUCCAGGGAGGGCGGCUUAUCAAACACGAGAUGACUAAAACGGCAUCUGCAUAACAAUGGAAAAGGAAGAACAAGGUCUUGAAGGGACAGCAUUGCCAGCUGCUGCUGAGUCACAGAUUUCAUUAUAAAUAGCCUCCCUAAGGAAAAUACACUGAAUGCUAUUUUUACUAACCAUUCUAUUUUUAUAGAAAUAGCUGAGAGUUUCUAAACCAACUCUCUGCUGCCUUACAAGUAUUAAAUAUUUUACUUCUUUCCAUAAAGAGUAGCUCAAAAUAUGCAAUUAAUUUAAUAAUUUCUGAUGAUGGUUUUAUCUGCAGUAAUAUGUAUAUCAUCUAUUAGAAUUUACUUAAUGAAAAACUGAAGAGAACAAAAUUUGUAACCACUAGCACUUAAGUACUCCUGAUUCUUAACAUUGUCUUUAAUGACCACAAGACAACCAACAGCUGGCCACGUACUUAAAAUUUUGUCCCCACUGUUUAAAAAUGUUACCUGUGUAUUUCCAUGCAGUGUAUAUAUUGAGAUGCUGUAACUUAAUGGCAAUAAAUGAUUUAAAUAUUUGUUAAAUGAG